rnacentral:rRNA from 1 species
AACGAACGCUGGCGGCAGGCCUAACACAUGCAAGUCGAGCGGACCCUUCGGGGUUAGCGGCGGACGGGUGAGUAACGCGUGGGAAUAUGCCCUUCUCUACGGAAUAGUCCUGGGAAACUGGGGGUAUACCGUAUACGCCCUUUGGGGGAAAGAUUUAUCGGGGAAGGAUUAGCCCGCGUUGGAUUAGGUAGUUGGUGGGGUAAUGGCCUACCAAGCCGACGAUCCAUAGCUGGUUUGAGAGGAUGAUCAGCCACACUGGGACUGAGACACGGCCCAGACUCCUACGGGAGGCAGCAGUGGGGAAUCUUAGACAAUGGGGGCAACCCUGAUCUAGCCAUGCCGCGUGAGUGAUGAAGGCCUUAGGGUUGUAAAGCUCUUUCAGCUGGGAAGAUAAUGACGGUACCAGCAGAAGAAGCCCCGGCUAACUCCGUG